GGGGCAACAGCUCAGUGGUAGAGUGUAUGCCUAAUGUGUACAAGGUCCUGAGUUCAAUCCCCAGUACCUCCA
rnacentral:tRNA from 1 species